rnacentral:rRNA from 1 species
AGAGUUCGAUCCUGGCUCAGGAUGAACGCUGGCGGCGUGCCUAACACAUGCAAGUCGAACGAGAUGCUUGUCGGAAAGCUUCGGCCGGAAGAUAAGUUAUCUAGUGGCGGACGGGUGAGUAACACGUGGGUAACCUGCCUUAUGGAGGGGGAUAACAGAGAGAAAUCACUGCUAAUACCGCAUAAGCACACAGUACCGCAUGGUACAGGGUGAAAAGAUUUAUCGCCAUAAGAUGGACCCGCGUCUGAUUAGCCAGUUGGCAGGGUAAAAGCCUACCAAAGCAACGAUCAGUAGCCGAUCUGAGAGGAUGACCGGCCACAUUGGGACUGAGACACGGCCCAAACUCCUACGGGAGGCAGCAGUGGGGAAUAUUGCACAAUGGGGGAAACCCUGAUGCAGCGACGCCGCGUGAGUGAAGAAGUAUUUCGGUAUGUAAAGCUCUAUCAGCAGGGAAGAAAAUGACGGUACCUGACUAAGAAGCCCCGGCUAACUACGUGCCAGCAGCCGCGGUAAUACGUAGGGGGCAAGCGUUAUCCGGAUUUACUGGGUGUAAAGGGAGCGUAGACGGAAUGGCAAGUCUGAAGUGAAAUACCCGGGCUCAACCUGGGAACUGCUUUGGAAACUGUUGUUCUAGAGUGUUGGAGAGGUAAGUGGAAUUCCUGGUGUAGCGGUGAAAUGCGUAGAUAUCAGGAAGAACACCGGAGGCGAAGGCGGCUUACUGGACAAUAACUGACGUUGAGGCUCGAAAGCGUGGGGAUCAAACAGGAUUAGAUACCCUGGUAGUCCACGCUGUAAACGAUGAAUACUAGGUGUCGGGGAGCAAAGCUUCUCGGUGCCGUCGCAAACGCAAUAAGUAUUCCACCUGGGGAGUACGUUCGCAAGAAUGAAACUCAAAGGAAUUGACGGGGACCCGCACAAGCGGUGGAGCAUGUGGUUUAA